AUUGAACGCUGGCGGCAGGCUUAACACAUGCAAGUCGAGCGAGCGGCGGACGGGUGAGUAAUGUCUGGGAAACUGCCUGAUGGAGGGGGAUAACUACUGUAAACGGUAGCUAAUACCGCAUACCAUCAGAUGUGCCCAGAUGGGAUUAGCUAGUAGGUGGGGUAAUGGCUCACCUAGGCGACGAUCCCUAGCUGGUCUGAGAGGAUGACCAUCCACACUGGAACUGAGACACGGUCCAGACUCCAACGGGAGGCAGCAGUGGGGAAUAUUGCACAAGGAGCGGAAGCCUGAUGCAGCCAUGCGGCGUGUGAGAAGAAGGCCUUCGGGUUGUAAAGCACUUUCAGCGAGGAGGGGUUACUGGCAGAAGAAGCACCGGCUAACUCCGUGCCAGCGGCCGCGUAAUUC
rnacentral:rRNA from 1 species